GCUUCGGGCAUCAACUGCGGGCAGAUCAGGUGCACAUGGCAGUCGACGGCGCCCGCGGUGAGGAUGCGGCCGUUGCCGGCGAUGAUCUCGGUGGCGGGUCCCACCACCAGGUCCGGAUGCACGCCGGUCAUGAUGUCGGGAUUACCGGCCUUGCCGAUGGCCACGAUGCGGCCAUCGCGAAUACCGAUGUCGGCCUUGAUGAUUCCCCAAUGAUCGAUGAUCACCGCUCCGGUGAUCACGGUAUCGGGUGCGCCCUCGGCCCGGGUGGCGCGGCCCUGCCCCAUC
rnacentral:sRNA from 1 species